rnacentral:lncRNA from 1 species
GUUAGUGUAUUGCAUAGUUUUAGCCAUUGCAUUUUGCUCAAAACUCACCAAAUGACUUCUCCCACAACAUUAUGAUGCUCCCUAAGUUUUGAACACAAUCCGAUAUCGAUUGGUCCAUGCAAUUGGGCAAUUCAGGUUCUUACAAAGUUCGUUCUGAAAUGGAAUGGUUGGUGUAUUGCAUAGUUUUAGCCAUUGGAUUUCACUUAAAAUUCACCAAAUGACUCCUCC